CCCUCCUUUUGACCUUCCUAAAAACUAUUUUAGAAUUUGUUUGUCCACCUGUUCCUGCCCUUCUGGCAGUUAACCUGCUCUGCCCUCCUGAUUCCUCCAGGUUCCAGUCAUCUGUUCAUCUCCACUCUCUGCUAUAUCUCCGGAACCAUCUACCACAUUCCAGUCCUGCUGUUUGCCCCUGAUCGCCAGCUCUCCGUCACCCACCUAUCCACCUGCAGCUCCUCAGUCUCCCCAUCCAGCCAGGUCUGACUAACCCCCCACAAAUUACCGGAUCAUCCAGGAAACAACCCCACGGAUCCCUCCAGUCCUGCAGAAGCUUCGGCUACCUCUCCCAUACAAAAUAAAUCAUUUAAACUUACCUUCUGUCUCUCGGUGGUGUCGUGGGUCAAGAAAUUACCCUCAAACAUGACAUUGACAGAAGAAGCUACAAUGAUGUUCUGCUGAGCUGUGGUGGCCUCAUGGAGGGGGCCAUUGACUUGACCACUGCUGCCAACCACUUAAACAUUCCCCCUCUCCUGAUAACAUUUUACUUUCUUUGACAUGAAAUGUGCUACUACAUGUUCACCCAUUGACUUAAUUUUAAAUUCAUUAAGAUAAAGACAGUAAAGUUUAUCUCUUACUAAUUACAAUAUUUACUAAGAAAUCACAAUGUAAACACUACUUGGUACAUAGGUUGUGUGUGUGAGUGGGUGUGUGCAUGUGUCUGCUCUGUCUUCUCGAUCCCCAGUGAGUUUUGGUGGAUGGCUGCUUAUACUGAGCCAGGAUCCUCUGGAGGUUUCUUCCCGUUAAAAGAGAGUUUUCCUCUCCACUGUCACCACAUGCUUGCUUACUAUGAGGAAUGGCUUAAUUAACUGAACUGUAUUUGAAUGUUUAAGUGCCUUGCGACGACUCUUGUUGUGAUUUGGUGCUAUAUAAAUAAACUUGAAUUGAAUGCUAGAUAAACAAGUACCUUCACCAGAACACAUUUUAAUUCUUAGGGGGGUUUGGGGUCCAUUCUACAGUUAACAAAACACUCUAAAAUGCUGAAAAAUCACAACAACAACAAAAAAACCUCAAAAGCCUGUAUGGUCUUCAUAUCAAACCAGCAUCAUAAACACAAGCUUUUUCAUGUGUAAAAUAACCCAAAGCAAAUACAGUUGAUAUAACGUACUGCUUUACACACACAAACAUAAACGAAGCUAGAUGUAGUGGUGCUACGACAAAAGUGUGUGAGAACUGAUUGGUCAGAUAAAGCUGAUACCGAUUGUGGAGACUGAGUGCUCAGCUGCCUCAAGCAGCAGAUAACAUAUCUGCCAUAAUCGCACAAGGAAAAAAUGGUCUCUACAGUAGAUGCAGGCAGUUGGGUAACUUAAACAAGUGAUCUGUUCUAAUUCUGUCUUCAAUAAAAAAAACUUCUCAUAUCAAGCCUCUGGAGAGUGACAUUUUCAUCUUCCCUGCUACAGUUUUCCUCAGAUGUCACUCUUGCACCACAAUUUUUAACCAACUCACUGACCCAACUUUUAAAGAGACAUUUCGGUCUGUGCACAUUUCCAACCUGUCACCUUUUCCCAACUGCUCGGCUGUAAACAUAAAGGGUGGUGGUGGAAGGGGGAGAACUCUUAUCCUAUCAGCCCAGUUCCAAUCUAGUCAAAUCAUUCCUGAGUUUGGCAUUCAACAUUAUUUCAAGGAUUCUCCAGCCACCUGUCUAGUUCCUUCUUCUUUUUUUCCCCCAUUUUAAAUUCUGCCCCUCACUGAGAAUUAUGUGAAGCAAGGCAUGCGUGUCAAAGGGAAAUUUAGUGGGUAAAGACAGCCAAGAUUGGUCGGAUGAAUUAAACAGAUAACAAGAGUAGACGAAGUGGGGGAACCAUGUAGAGCAAAGCUCCUCAUCAAUGUUGGUCAUUUCAGAGGGGCUUCUUUUUUUUUCUCUCCCCACAGGAGCGAGAAGGCAAUAUCUAAAUUAAUAAAGUGAUGAAAUGAGUUUGUGCUAUGGACUUUCUGCUUUUUGACUUUCCCAUCUGGAUUAGUGCAGGCUGAAUGGACGCUCUGUUACUUUUGUUACAACUACACAAUUUACUGUCGCAAUUUGGCCUUGCAGUGAUAAGGCUUCCCAUCUCCUGCUCAUUAACAUCUCAUUCCAUAUGCAGGGCCUCUGUUACCUGAGAGAUUGCUCAAACGCUAAACAUGAACUAUUACAAGGAGCACGGAACGUUUAAGCAGAGCUAAUACAUAAGGAUCAACUGGGUAACAGUUUUAUUUUUUAAUAAGUGCACUGAAAGAACAACCAGGAAUACAAUGUGACCUUUGAACAUUAUUCAAGUUUGGCUUUCAUCAAGUAAUUUGAUUUUUAUGGAUAAUUCAAUGUUCUUUUUUUCUUGUAACAGUAAUUCAAUUUAGUUUAUUUAUUUAGCACCAAAUUAAGGCACUUCAGAAAGUAAACAUUCCAAUACAGUUCAGUCAAUUAAGCCAAUCAGUAAAAAGUUUCCGAUUUAAGGACCCAGCAAAUUGCAUCAAGUCGCUGACUAGUGUCAGUGAUUUUAAAGCAAUCCUCAUACUAAGCAAGCAUGCAGCGACAGUGGAGAGGAAAACUCCCUUUUAACAGGAAGAAACCUCCAGAGGAU